rnacentral:lncRNA from 1 species
AAGGAGAAAGAAAACUAAAGAGAAACAGAAGAGAGGAAAAGAGAGCAAGGUUCAUUUGAUCUUGCAACUGGAAACGACUCGGACUUUAACUCUCCUAAAGUGCAGCUUCACUCGUCUAUGAUCCUGCAUGCUCUAAAACAAGGUUAUCAAAGACUCCAGAACCCUCUUAAUCUUACAAAUAAAGUCCAUAAUGCCUGUGUGGUAUUCCUAAUGAUUCUCUGAUUCCUCUCUAUACGGACUUGCCGGC